GCCGAAAUAGCUUCAUUUGGGAGAGCGUCAGACUGAAAAUCUGAAGGUCCCUGGUUCAAUCCCGG
rnacentral:tRNA from 1 species